rnacentral:lncRNA from 1 species
UUCCAACCCAACUCUGCGGUGAUUCCAUGGUGCUAUGAUCUUCAAGGUCCCUUCCAGCCCAGCUGUGCUGUGAUUCUGCUAUUUGAUGAAGAAAAGCUUGUGUGCAUCAAAGGGAGACCUGAGACUGAAAUUUGGCCGACCUUCCUCUCCUCUCAGGUCCAACGUGACGCGCCUAUCCAGGUAUCACAGACCAAUGCCAAGAUGCAGAGAACACUGCUCUGUGUGCCAUUGUUGCUUUUCUCCUGCAGCGUUGGAUGACAUCUGGAGAGUCAGUUUUCCGGAGAAGGCAGACUGAAGAGUACGAAAUCGCCCUCCGUGCCCCCAG